AAUUCAUUUCCUGUCAUUUUUACUGCUCCUCUGAGCCAGCACACUUGCCGCACUGCUCGAAGUUUCCAGACGCAGAGAAGAGGAUUUCCAAAGAAGAGAAGAAUUUCCUCACCCUCUCAUGUCAUCAUUUACUGCUGCCGAUUUUCCGAGAAUCAUGUUUUUCCUGUUACAAUGUGUAAACGCUCAUAAAAGGACACCGCCUUGUUUGAAAGCCGAGAGCAGCUGUUCGGAGGACAUGUGAUAUCGGGAGCCUCUCAAACAAUCCCACACCCUUGUCACCAAGCUGGUGUUGGGAGGAGCUGCUUUUGAUGCUGGACAAUUUCUCCUUCUAAAGGGCAACUAUGUCCACCACGGUCUCUUCCCCCAUUGAUUUUCUCCUCCUGUGACUUUGGAAUCCAAAGUUCAAGGUUAGAAUCCGAGAGAGGCCCCCAGCGGUGUCUCAGUGAGGGUCGGGGGGGAAACAGAGGGUGUGCUCAGAGAAGGACCAUUCACAGGAGAUUUAUCUCCCGAGAGAUUCAUUCCCAGGGUGUGGGUGGGGCUUUGCCAAAGGAGGAGGGCAGCGAGGAAACCCAAGGGGUAGCCGCCAAGGGCCCAGAAAGAAAGCGAGUGGGAGAAAGCUGGUUAUUUUAAGCCGAACAGUGACCUUCUGUCGAAGGACGUGGCCAGCCUGAGGUCACCUCACUCCUCUGCUUUACUCGAAUUUCCUGUCCGGUGUCCCCACUGGCCAAACCCACUCAGAAGCCAAGGACACAGCCUCAUGUCAAUUGCUUGUUGACACUGUCUACACAGGCUGGCCUUGGGAGGCAGAGUGCGGGUGGAGAGAGGUGGAAACAGAAGAAGCAAACAGAAGAAACACCCCAGGAGAGUGAGGGUGACCAGCUUCCUGGACUGGAAGGUACUGGAGAAGCUGAUCCUACAAGACCAGUUGUAUCACUGGUCAACUGCUGGACUAGCAACUUGAGGUUCCCGUUAAAGUUGGGUGAGGAAAUAGAGGAAGAAUCGGUACAUUUUCUGAAGCUCUGCAGCUUAUAGGAGGACAGUCCGCCUCCGACCAUCACCCGUACCUCGCCGUGUGGUUCUGGCCAAGUUGCUUAUGAACUUUAAGCUUUUUUGGAUCCUUUGCAAGAUUGGGCUCAUCGUUAUUAUCAUAUCUAGAUAAGGGUGGUGGUGAGAGUUCAGUGAGUUCAUUUAUUGAAUGCAGAAAGUUCCUGACAUCCAGUCCAUACUCAAUAUAUGUUAUCUGUUAUUUUAAGAUAAGUAUUAUUAUCACGAUGUUGUCAUAUGUGUUGGAAAGCUGUUAUGUUAUUUCAGAGGUGAGUGCUUUUGAUAUAAAAUGUAAAUGUAAUUAUGUGCAGGUGGGAUAAGGGAUAAAAGUGAUGGUUUUUUUUUUUUUUUUUUUUUUUUGUCUUUUUAGGACCACACCCCCAGCAUAUGGAGGUUCCCAGGCUAGGGGUCAAAUUGGAAGCUGGAGCCACCGGCCUACCCCACAGCCACAGCAACACCAGAUCCAAGUCUUGUCUUUGACCUACACCACAGCUUACAACACCAGAUCCUUAACCCGCUGAGCGAGGCCAGGGGUCAAACCUGCGUCCUCAUGGAUGCUAGUCAGGUUCAUUAACCACUGAGCCAUGAUGGGCCAAUUCCGUGAUGCUGUUUUCAGUUAUAUGUUUAUAUAGUUUUCUUCCUGCAGCAAAUCAAAGGCAUUUACUUAGUUGAAUGUGGACCACACAUCUGGAAUAAAGUCAUAUUGAAAGGUGCA
rnacentral:lncRNA from 1 species